AAGAUCAGCGAUGAGUGCAUCUUUCUGCAAAAGAGUCAUUUACAUUGCAGUGAUAUUAGUUUUUUGUUUUGCAUGCAGUCCAUUUGUAUUUUACACUUGGUUGUGUGCAGUAUUCGAGUAUCCAGGAGUCACAAAAGCAGGACGUGAUUGACUCAUUGCUCUGGUGAAUCACCCUGUGCUGGUCUGGUCUGGUUCUCCUGUUGUCCAUCUUGGUAUCAAAGUCUGUAGAAGAUCCAUUCUGGUCCAAAGCUUGGUAUCCAGGUCCUCCAGAGUUUACCGGAAGUUACGUGCGGACCGCGACAGCUGCUUGUUUAUGUUGUGGAGAUGCUGAAACUGUCUAUAGCAGGGGUCUUCAACAGGGGGUCCGGGGCCUUUUGGGGGUCCCUGGUGGUAUAAUCAGGGGUCCCCCAUAAUCUUUCAAUUUUAAUUUUAUUGUUUUUUUUUCAAAAAUGAAAUUAGGCAUCAAACAAAAUGCAUUAAUAGACUAAUAAAAAAGUCUAAACUUGAUAGAAAUUAAGGUUUUUACAUUAAAAUCUAUUCAGUAAAUACAUUUUUUAAAUGUAUUAUGUUAAUAGUAUGAGACUGGGUAUUCCAAAAUGAUUAUUCUAUUAUCUUUGUAAUAUAACCAUCAUAACAAAGUAUGUAAAUCCAGUCUUAAUUUGAUACAUGUACUGGGGGUCCCUGCUCCUCCUCUCUAUCGAUUAAGGGGCCCUUAGCCUGAAAAAGGUUGAAGACCUCUGGUCUAUAGGAAAUAUAUCAUAUUUAAUACAGUACUUUAUGACUGCAAUGAAAAAUACUUUGCAAGGAAAAAUAGGCCUUGUUUCUUCUUUGUAAACACAGUGUUGCAACCUUGUACAUGAAGAAAUUCUAACAUUCAUGAUAAAAUGUA